GAGACCAACAGUGUUAUCAUAUGUAACAGCAACUCCAUGUGGAUUAUGCUGAUUUCCAGUGGAGAGGCUGUUACUUUUGAUGGAAACUGGCAAACUAC
rnacentral:pre_miRNA from 1 species